rnacentral:lncRNA from 1 species
UCGACAUGGAGGCUCACAGGCACCCCAAACUCAGCCUGCCCUAAGCUGAACCCAUGAUCUUUCCUUCCAAACUUGUUUCUCACCAGAGUUCCCAUCUUAUCAUCCACCUAGUUGUUCAAGUCAUCCUUAAGACCUCCCUCUCCUUCACUGUCUAUUCUACCUCCCUAAUAUCUCUUAAAUCCUUCCCUCCUCUCCCACCUCACAGCCACCAUCCUAACCUAAGCAGCCACCCUUUCUCACCCUAUAAUGACCUCCUGGCUGUUCUCUAUAGAGUUGGUGAAUCCUUUCGUCUUCAGCCUGAACCCCCUUUCGAGGGAUUCUUAUAUAUAUACAUAGAUAUACACAAAUAUAUAUGUACAUAUGUACAUAUGUGUAUGGGUGUACAUAUGUACAUGUGUAUGGGUGUACAUAUGUACAUAUGUGUAUGGGUGUACAUAUGUACAUAUGUAUAUGGGUGUACAU